GAUGAACGCUGGCGGCGUGCCUAAUACAUGCAAGUCGAACGAGGUCUUCGGACCUAGUGACGAACGGGUGAGUAACACGUUGGUACCUACCCCGAAGUGGGGAAUAACUGCCCGAAAGGGUGGCCAAUACCGCAUAAUACCGCAAGGUUAAAGCAGUAAUGCGCUUCGGGAGGGGCCUGCGUCCCAUUAGCUAGUUGGUAGGGUGAUGGCCUACCAAGGCGACGAUGGGUAGCUGGAUCGAGAGGUUGACCAGCCACACUGGGACUGAGAUACGGCCCAGACUCCUACGGGAGGCAGCAGUAAGGAAUCUUCCACAAUGGACGAAAGUCUGAUGGAGCAACGCCGCGUGCAGGAUGACGGCCUUCGGGUUGUAAACUGCUUUUAUACGGGAAGAUUAUGACGGUACCGUAUGAAUAAGGACCGGCUAACUACGUGCCAGCAGCCGCGGUAA
rnacentral:rRNA from 1 species